rnacentral:lncRNA from 1 species
AUGGGGCUGUUAUUUCUGGGCACCCCGCAGUGCCCGUGGGCACCCCCCGAGGGGCUUUGUGCUGUUUCAGGAGGAAUUUCCCCCAUUUUACCUGCUUGGGAUGCUCCAGCACCGAGGAUUUCCCCGGUUCGUAGUCAAAAAUGCUGCCGGGCUCUGCGUCGGCACCGGGGUCACCCCACUGGGCCCUGCGGGGAGCCGGGGGGAGCUGAGCCCCCCCGUGCCAUGCGGGCACCGUGCUGGGGACAGCGUCCCCGUGCCCCCAUGGCGAUGCCACCCCGUGCCACCACACUCACCAGUCCGUCCCGUUGGGCACACCGGGACGCUCGGAUUUUGGCUGCCCUUUCCUCCGUGGCUCUGAGGGGGGGGACACGGAAACACCACAUUGAGCUGGGGCUCCUGGGGGGGGUCCUGGGGGUCCCCAGCCUUGAGGUGCCAUCCCCAGGCAGCGCCUACCUGUGGGGCAGUGCUGGGCGUCCCAGUCUGGCUCUGUGGGGAAGGAGAAGGAGGUUGAGGGGGCACCGUGCCGCACCGUGGCACCGGCGGCACCGGCGGCACCGGGACUCACCGGGCAGCUUGCGGUGGAUCUGCUGGAACAUGCUGCGGUACCAGUCCCGGGGGCGGUCAACGCUCUGCAGGGACACCACGGGGACGGUGAGGAAGGGUCCCGAGGGGGUGGCAGAGCCUGGCCCCACGCCCCCGACUCACCGAGCGCGAGGCGAUGGGCAUCCCCGUCUCGUCCACCGGCCCGAUGCCGUCGUACUUCACCCAGCGCCGCUCCCGCCGCUUGCUGUCCUUGGUCCAUGUGGCCGACCAGCCCGGUGGGCGCGGGCAACUGGGGGUGGGAUGUGGGGGUGCGGCAGCCCCCGGGCCCUGCAUGGGGUCCUGAGCGGGUGCUGGGGUGCCGGGAGCCUUCGCCUCCUUGGCCGGCCAGGUCUGGUACCAGUCGGUGGCUGGGGACGAGGUGAUGGGGAGGGCGGUGACGCCCCUGGGUGUCGCUGGGCAGCGUGUGGGGCAGCUGCUGGGUCCCAAGGGUGCAGGGCGGGUGCCCCCGGGGGGCUCGGGGCAGGUACCUGGGGUUCUGGGGGCGGCUCGGGCGUGCUCAGCUGGGGAAGGGUCGUGGAAGUCGAAAUUCAGCGUGUUGGAGCCGCGGUGGCGGAUGAUGGGCACCUGCUGCACAAGGACAGGGCGAAUGGGGGGGGGGGUUGA